rnacentral:rRNA from 1 species
UUUGAAAUCUGGCAGUCUUCGAUUGUCCGAGUUGUAAUCUAUAGAGGCGUUUUCCGUGCCGGACCGUGUCCAAGUCUCCUGGAAAGGAGUAUCAAAGAGGGUGAUAAUCCCGUACUUAACACGACCACCGGUGCUCUGUGAUACGUCUUCUACGAGUCGAGUUGUUUGGGAAUGCAGCUCAAAAUGGGUGGUGAAUUCCAUCUAAAGCUAAAUAUUGGCGAGAGACCGAUAGCGAACAAGUACCGUGAGGGAAAGAUGAAAAGCACUUUGGAAAGAGAGUUAAACAGUACGUGAAAUUGUUGAAAGGGAAACGAUUGAAGUCAGUCGUGUUCUUUGGAUUCAGCCAGUUCUGCUGGUCUACUUCCUUGGAACGGGUCAACAUCAGUUUUGUCCGGUGGAUAAAGGUAGUAGGAAUGUGACUUCCCCGGAAGUGUUAUAGCCUAUUAUCACAUACACUGGGUGAGACUGAGGACUGCAGCUCGCCUUUAUGGCCGGUCUUCGGACACGUUCGAGCUUAGGAUGUUGACAUAAUAGG